rnacentral:rRNA from 1 species
CCCGCACAAGCGGUGGAGCAUGUGGUUAAUCGAUGCAACGCGAAGAACCUUACCUAGACUUGACAUCCCGGGAAUCUUAGGAAACUAGAAGUGCCUUCGGGGAGCCCGGUGACAGGUGCUGCAUGGCUGUCGUCAGCUCGUGUCGUGAGAUGUUCGGUUAAGUCCGCUAACGAGCGCAACCCUCGUCGUAUGUUAUAUGUGUCAUACGAGACUGCCGGUAAAAGCCGGAGGAAGGUGAGGAUGAUGUCAAGUCAGCAUGACCUUUAUAUCCAGGGCUACACACACGCUACAAUGGUCUGUACAAUGGGUAGCCAAGCCGCGAGGCGGAGCCAAUCCUGAAAGCAGGCCUCAGUUCAGAUUGCAGUCUGCAACUCGACUGCAUGAAGCCGGAGUUGCUAGUAACCGCAGGUCAGCAAUACUGCGGUGAAUACGUUCCCGGGUCUU